UACUGAGGAUGCGAGCGUUAUCCGGAUUUAUUGGGUUUAAAGGGUGCGUAGGCGGGCUUUUAAGUCAGCGGUAAAAAUUCGGGGCUCAACCCCGUCCGGCCGUUGAAACUGGGGGCCUUGAGUGGGCGAGAAGAAGGCGGAAUGCGUGGUGUAGCGGUGAAAUGCAUAGAUAUCACGCAGAACCCCGAUUGCGAAGGCAGCCUUCCGGCGCCCUACUGACGCUGAGGCACGAAAGUGCGGGGAUCGAACAGG
rnacentral:rRNA from 1 species